GUCCACGCCCUAAACUAUGUCAACUAGUUGUCGGGGAAGAAAUUCCUUGGUAACGAAGCUAACGCGUGAAGUUGACCGCCUGGGGAGUACGGCCGCAAGGUUAAACUCAAAGGAAUUGACGGGGACCCGCACAAGCGGUGGAUUAUGUGGAUUAAUUCGAUGCAACGCGAAAACCUUACCUACCCUUGACAUGCUAGGAAGCCCGCAGAGAUGUGGGUGUGCCCGAAAGGGAACCUAGACACAGGUGCUGCAUGGCUGUCGU
rnacentral:rRNA from 1 species